rnacentral:lncRNA from 1 species
ACUUUUGGGAAACCCCUUUGGGUCCCCUCCCAUUGUAUGCGAGCUCUGUUUUCACUUAUUAAAUCUUGCAGCUGCACACUUUUCUGGUCCGUGUUUGUUCCUGCUCGAGCUGAGCUUUCACUCACUGUCCACCACUGCUGUUUGCCGCCGUCGCAUACCCGCCAUUGACUUCCACCCCUCCGGAUCUGGCAGGGUGUCUGCUGCAUUUCUGAUCCAGCGAGGCACCCAUUGCCGCUUCCGUUUGGGCUAGAGGCUUGCCAUUGUUCCUGCACGGCUAAGUGCAGGAAUUUGUCCUAAUCAAGCUGAACACUAGUCACUGGGUUCCACGGUUCUCUUCUGUGACCCACGGCUUCUAAUAGAGCUAUAACAUUAACCGCAUGGACCAAGGUUCCAUUCCUUGGAUUCCGUGAGGCCAAGAACCCCAGAUCAGAGAACAAAAGGCUUGCUUCCAUCUUGGGAGUGGCCGCCACCAUCUUGUGAGCUCUAAGAACAAAGACCCACCUGUAACAUUUGGUGGCAACCGUAUGGUGAUUCUCCAAAGCGAUUUACAUUGAUCAUCCACUAUGUUCCAGAUACUACAUGAUACUAACAAGACAACAGGAGAAGUGAUAUCAAAAGACAACGACUACACCAAAAUUUGGAGAAAAAGGUGAAUCCAGACAGUCACAGGUGAGAUCUGCCGACCUGGAGCAGAGCUGCUAGAUCCAUAAGCUGGGACGUGGAUGAAGCUGGAGGCAUUAUCCUUGGCAAACUUACACAGGAGCAGAAAACCAAAUACCACAUGUUCUCACCUGUAAGUGGGAGCUAAAUUAUGAGAACAUGUAGACACAUAGAGAGGAACAACACACACUGGGGCCUAUUGGAACGUGGAGGGUGGGAGGAGGGAGAGGAUCAAGAAAAACAUUUAGUGGGUACUAGACUUAAUACCUGGAUGAUGAAAUAAUCUGUACAACAAACCUCCAUGACACCCAUUUACCUGUGUAACAAACCUGCACAUGUAUUCCUGAACUUGAAAUAAAAGUUUUUUUAAGUGUAACUUACCAUUUUAAAAAAUAGUAUUUUUAA